rnacentral:rRNA from 1 species
UACGUAGGGUGCAAGCGUUGUCCGGAAUUAUUGGGCGUAAAGAGCUCGUAGGCGGUCUGUUGCGUCGGCUGUGAAAACCCGAGGCUCAACCUCGGGCCUGCAGCCGAUACGGGCAGACUAGAGUUCGGCAGGGGAGACUGGAAUUCCUGGUGUAGCGGUGAAAUGCGCAGAUAUCAGGAGGAACACCAAUAGCGAAGGCAGCUCGCUGGGACGGUACUGACGCUGAGGUGCGAAAGCGUGGGGAGCAAACAGG